rnacentral:rRNA from 1 species
GACGAACGCUGGCGGCGUGCCUAAUACAUGCAAGUCGAACGCAGUGGGGACGGGUGAGUAACACGUGGGUAACCUCCCAUCAGAGGGGAUAACACUUGGACACAGGUGCUAAACCGAUACUGAUGGAUGGACCCGGGGUGCAUUAGCUAGUUGGUGAGGUAACGGCCCACCAAGGCCACGAUGCAUAGCGGACCUGGAGGGGUGAUCGGCCACACUGGGACUGAGACACGGCCCAGACUCCUACGGGAGGCAGCAUUAGGUAAUCUUCGGAAAUGGACGAAAGUCUGACCGAGCAACGCCGCGUGAGUGAAGAAGGUUUUCGGAUCGUAAAACUCUUUUGUUAGGAAAGCGGUAUCUAACCAGAAAGCCACGGCUAACUACGUGCCAGCCGCCGCGGUAAUAC